rnacentral:rRNA from 1 species
GUCCUACGGGACGCAGCAGUGGGGAAUAUUGCACAAUGGGGGAAACCCUGAUGCAGCGACGCCGCGUGAGUGAAGAAGUAUCUCGGUAUGUAAAGCUCUAUCAGCAGGGAAGAAAAUGGCGGUACCUGACUAAGAAGCCCCGGCUAACUACGUGCCAGCAGCCGCGGUAAUACGUAGGGGGCAAGCGUUAUCCGGAUUUACUGGGUGUAAAGGGAGCGUAGACGGCGCUGCAAGUCCGGAGUGAAAGCCCAUGGCUUAACCAU